GAUUCUUGAUUUUAGGAUCGUAAACUUCGAUCUAAGGAGAUACCUGUGGUCAAAGUCUUAAGGAGGAAUCAUUCUGUUGAGGAAUGGACGUGGGAAGUGGCAGCCAAAACGAAAGAGAAAUAUCAUUAUCUUUUCACUACCGCAUAAAGGAUCUUCUUCUUGCUAGUAAAUGAACUUGAUUUAUUUUCUUCUUUUAUAAUGAAGAUCUUUCUUUUAUUAUCCUUGUAUGCUCUUUGCUUAUUAUACAUCCCUUCCCUUGUUUGCUUCUAAAUUC
rnacentral:lncRNA from 1 species